rnacentral:rRNA from 1 species
GACGAACGCUGGCGGCGUGCCUAAUACAUGCAAGUAGAACGCUGAAGGAGGAGCUUGCUUCUCUGGAUGAGUUGCGAACGGGUGAGUAACGCGUAGGUAACCUGCCUGGUAGCGGGGGAUAACUACUGGAAACGAUAGCUAAUACCGCAUAAGAGUAGAUGUCGCAUGACAUUUGCUUAAAAGGUGCAAUUGCAUCACUACCAGAUGGACCUGCGUUGUAUUAGCUAGUUGGUGAGGUAACGGCUCACCAAGGCAACGAUACAUAGCCGACCUGAGAGGGUGAUCGGCCACACUGGGACUGAGACACGGCCCAGACUCCUACGGGAGGCAGCAGUAGGGAAUCUUCGGCAAUGGACGGAAGUCUGACCGAGCAACGCCGCGUGAGUGAAGAAGGUUUUCGGAUCGUAAAGCUCUGUUGUAAGAGAAGAACGAGUGUGAGAGUGGAAAGUUCACACUGUGACGGUAUCUUACCAGAAAGGGACGGCUAACUACGUG